AUCCCAUGAUGAGGACACUUUGCAAUGCAAUUCUUAAACUAUUCAUAUGCUUCUGGAGUGGUUUCAUCAUUCUGUUGCUAAAAUCUCGAGAUUCUUCCUUAUAGAAC
rnacentral:snoRNA from 1 species